rnacentral:tRNA from 1 species
UUGCGUGCUGUAACAUAGU